rnacentral:siRNA from 1 species
UUAUCUUCGGUGUCUCUUUUA